ACUCAAUUUAAGCGUAAAACACCUGCACUUUAGCAUUUUUUCGUCUUCCUCUUUCACUGAUAAUUGCAGAAACAAAGUGAUAAUGUGUUCUGUAAAAUGCAAGAAUUGCUCUGCCUUCUGACCAAUUUCUGGUAUUUCCAAAUUCUGAACGCAAACUUCUCUAAAUACUGCCUGUUUUAAACAUCGUUCUGCUCUUCUCUAUCUAAUGACACUGUGGCUUGUGCUGUUAGAAUGGAAGGUGAGGGGUGUUAUUCAACAGUCAUCUUUAAAGCUUUUGACAAUGACACAUCUAAAGCUCAACAACUUCCAGGAAAAGAAUCUGGUUUACCACCGCAAGAUCAUCAGUCUGAAGAAAAAGUGACCACCUCGACCUCUCCAACAUACAGACGAGCUACAGUGUGUUUGGGUGUGCUCUGUAUUCUUCUAAUCUUGGCUUUAACCGCAGUCAGCAUCCUCAAGUCAUAUGACAGAUAACAAAAAAAUUCUGGUAGAGCUCAACACACUCAGAAAUAUCCUCAUGUCUAAUAGACAAUAAAAACCUGAGAGCUCAGAGCAUCACUUACCUGCUGGAAACCACUUUACACAGACCCUAUACACUGAAGAGAGAACAGUCAACCAGCAAUUACUGACACACAAGGAGCUACUGGAGAGAGAGAGAUAAAAGGGCUUACGACACAGAAUGAAGAGCUUAACAGCACCCUGAACUUCAUAUUGAAACAAAGUACCCUUUCUAUAGAGGACUACUGUCAAUCAGAGAAUGGGGUCCGGUGUAAACCCUGUCUAAAAACUGGAUUCAGAAUGGCUCCAGCUGUUACUAUUUCCAUGUAGAAAAUGCCUGGAAAACAUGGAUAGACAAACAAGAGUCCUGCAAGACGUUUGGAGCUCAUCUGGCUAGACAAUGUGGAGGAACAGGAAUUUGUUAAUAAGCACGUUGAAUUCUAUUAUGACAAACAUCAUGGGUACUGGAUCGGACCUUGGGUUUGGACCAGUGAAGCAGAGCUUAAGG